GAAUUGUCCUGAUUUAGGGCUUCGAUCGGAAACGUCCUUUCCUCCCACCGAUCCUGCUCGGAUGUCCUCGGACACAUUGUGCUUGGCGGUCCAGUGAACACUUGAUUGCUAAAAGCAGAAGGACGGCAUUGAUUUGGAAAGGUCCGUGGAUGUGAACCUUGUAUUUCUGCCGAGGAUUUUUUGAAUGGAGAUCUGCGACGCGGACAUGUCAAGUACUUACAGUACCUAAGCAUCUUCCAGAACUUUGAGGAUGGAUGAGAAGACUUGUUCCCUUUCCACAUAAUCUCCGGCAGCACCGCAAUGGCCCUUUUAACAUUGUCUGGAAGAUCAGUUCCAUGAGCUGAAUGGACAUGAAAUGAUGUUUUAUGAAUCAGCCUCACCAAAGUUCACUGAAAAUCUGUGUCCAAGAUUCACAGAGAUCUGAAUGUCAACUAUUGCCUACUGCUUAAGUAACAAUCUGGUCUUGAAAGUUCUUCUAUAUUUGGGGAAUGUUGGAUUUUAAAGGGGAAGAAGUGUUGUAAUAUGCAAGACACUUACCUUGUACCACUCUACAGGAGAUCUUCCUGAGGAAUUGAAAUAUUGAAUUCCUGGACAUGAUAUUGUAGCUGAUCUCUGCCGAAUUAGGAUAACCUCAGAACUUUGAGUGGCUUGACUACCUGUUUGGUUCAGCUUUUUCACACUUAGUACUACCGCCUUAAGACAGAGGCCACUAUUUCUGUUUAUCAAACACAAACAUAUUUAAGCAUACUGUAAAAAUACAUACAUUAUAUUGAUCAAAUGUGUUCUAAUUUCCUCAGCAAAUUCUCAUACAGUAUUCAAUGCUAAACCUGUAAGUCCAACAAUCAAUCCCCUCAUCUUGUUUAACAAAUAUGUAACAAUAAAUUGUACUGUUACAAUACUUAUUGUCAUCUUCCACUAGGUCCCUUUCCUCAGUCGCUGUUUGACUUACUGACCUUUUCCAGCAUUUUCUGGCUUUAUUUUGAACUCAGGUGUUUGGGAAAAUCUUUGGGGAAAUCCGCAUUUUAGAGUUUAUGACCCUAUGAAAGUCCACCCCUCCACUCCCCCUGCAUAACUCUAACAUAAUGUUUUUUUCAUAUGCAAUGCAAAACUUAAUCAUUACAAAAUACCAGAGGAUGGAAAUCCAUUGCAAAUCCUUCCAAUCCAAUCAUUUUAAUCCCUAAUACGAAUAGGAAUUGCUCAGUCUCGCCUUACAUUCUCAGAAAAUGCUCUUCAAAUUUCCCAUCAAAACUAUUGAUUCUGUCCUCUAAUCCAAAUGUCCAUAUAUUAGACAAUGGUUUACUUAUAUUGAAUAAUUCUUUCUGGUUGCAAGAAUCCCUAAAAUCCAGUUAAGCCACAUGUGAAUUUUAAGAUCCUUUUCAAAUGCCUCCAUUACCUCAGCUUUCCUAUUUCAAUAAUUAACUCCAUCCCUAAAACGCAUUGAGGAAUUUAUAUUCCUUGUGUCUGUACUCUAGAACAUUCCCAAAUUUUAUCACUCUACCAAAGUGGCUGUUAGGGUUGGGGCCAAAGUCCUGGAAUUUUCUUUCAGAGAGAAUUCUGAAGAGGCAAUCCUUCUUCAGCCUCCUUACUUUGGAUAAUCCUUAAAUACAUCUUUCUGAACAAGCUUUGAUCAGCUAAAAGUGUCCUUAUUCAGCUUGAUCAACACACACAAAAUUUUGGAGGAACUCAGCAAGUCAGGUAGCAUCCAUGAAGGGGGAAUAAACAUUCAAUGUUUUGAGCCAAGACUCUUCAUCAGAACCGUUUGAUUCCAGAUUCAUUCCUUCAUUCAACCUUCAGUCAAUUUGAUGUUCAGUUUUGUUUGAAUUCUCUUGUGAAGCUUUGCUGCAUUAAAUAAACUGGGCAAAUACUGUAUAAUCAAAAUCAGGUUUAAUAUCGUUGACUUAUGUCAUGAAAUCUGUUGUUUGGCAGCAG